rnacentral:tRNA from 1 species
GCUUGGGUGGCUCAGUAGGUUAAGCUUCUGACUUUGGCUCAGGUCAUGAUCUCAGGGUUUGUGAGUUCAAGCCCCACAUCAGGCC